AUACGGAGGGUGCAAGCGUUACUCGGAAUCACUGGGCGUAAAGCGCGCGCAGGCGGCUAUUUAAGUUGGAAGUGAAAGCCUACGGCCCAACCGUAGAACUGCAUCCAAAACUAUUUAGCUAGAGUGUGGGAGAGGAAGAUGGAAUUAGUUGUGUAGGGGUAAAAUCCGUAGAGAUAACUAGGAAUACCAAAAGCGAAGGCAAUCUUCUGGAACACUACUGACGCUGAGGCGCGAAAGCGUGGGGAGCAAACAGGAUUAGAAACCCUAGUAGUCC
rnacentral:rRNA from 1 species